rnacentral:rRNA from 1 species
AGCGAACGCUGGCGGCAGGCUUAACACAUGCAAGUCGAGCGGGCACCUUCGGGUGUCAGCGGCAGACGGGUGAGUAACACGUGGGAACGUACCCUUCGGUUCGGAAUAACGCUGGGAAACUAGCGCUAAUACCGGAUACGCCCUUAUGGGGAAAGGUUUACUGCCGAAGGAUCGGCCCGCGUCUGAUUAGCUAGUUGGUGGGGUAACGGCCUACCAAGGCGACGAUCAGUAGCUGGCCUGAGAGGAUGAUCAGCCACACUGGGACUGAGACACGGCCCAGACUCCUACGGGAGGCAGCAGUGGGGAAUAUUGGACAAUGGGCGCAAGCCUGAUCCAGCCAUGCCGCGUGAGUGAUGAAGGCCUUAGGGUUGUAAAGCUCUUUUGUCCGGGACGAUAAUGACGGUACCGGAAGAAUAAGCCCCGGCUAACUUCGUG